AGGUUGAUGUUUGUUGGUCUGGCCUUGAUAACGAACGAAAAACGAAAAAAUAUGACCAUCUUUUAAAUGUAACCAUAACAUAACCAUAAAUUGGUGAAAACAGAACAUUCACAUAACAAUAUAGAAUGUUAUUGUGAUUUGGAUAAAUAAGGUAUUAAUGAUUUAUUAUUGAUAAUUAUAUCUUUCUUGGCUUAUAUAAUAUUUGUUGUCCCUCAAUGAUUGAAGAUUACUGUGUUUAGUUUGAGGUAGAUGAAAACUCAAAAUCGUCAGGUUUGUGAAUUCUGUAACAAACAGUUUGCAUCAUUUUCAAAUCGCAACAAACAUAUAAAGAAUAUUCAUAUGAAGACUGCUGAUGAUGAACCUAAAAUUAAACUACUAUGUACGCAGUGUGGCAUGCAGUUUUCGGCUAAAUCCAGCUUACAGCGUCACAUGGAUACAGUACAUUCUUUUGAAUCUGCAAAAUGUUAUUAUUGUCACAAAUGCACUUUUAAAACCCUUCGCUUGUAUUCUCUGCAGAGACAUAUCUUAGGAGUUCAUGAUAGUGGCAAGGAUCAACUGAAAACUUUACCAAAUCCAUUCAAGUGCAGUAUUUGUGGUGUUCAGUUUCAGUACUCAACCAGUCUGAAGCGUCAUGAGAAGAAAACUCAUAAAAUUGGUGAUGUUCCUUCCCGUCAGAUUAAAAUUAAGUGUCCAGUUUGUAGCUUUACUGCUUGUGGCAUUGGUUGUGUAAAAUCCAUACAUGAUCAUUUUAAAAAUGUUCACAGUAUUGAAAUAACUAAAGAGAAUCUUUACUUUGACUCUCUAGAGAAAUUUUAUACUUGGAAAAAAGACACGGAAAAGAAAACAACAAGUUUCUUUUGUAAAGCAUAUUCAAACUCUCGAAUGUUACUGUAUCGCUGUCAUAGAUGUGGAAUGUAUAGAAAACGUGGAACAAACAAACGUAAACCAAAAACUAAAGGAUCUUGUAAAAUGAAUGCUUUUUGUCCAGCCAGAAUUAAAGUUAAAGUGUUAGAAAACCAGUCUGUAAAUGUCAUAUAUAUUUCAAAUCAUGUAGGCCAUGAAAAUGAAUUGAAGCACCUUCAUUUAACAAAAGAAGAUAGAAGUAAAACUGUUACUACAGUAGUAACAAAAGAUUCAUGUAAGAAAGUUUUUAAAAGAGUUAAAAAUGCUCUCACAAAAAGGUCCAAACCAAAUAAGUCAAAAAGAAUCCAGUUGAUGAAUGAAAGUAAUACUGUAACAACUGAGAAAGCUGUCACCCUUAAUAAUGAACUAAACCAACCUAAUUUCCUGAGUAUUGCAGCUUGGAUCCAAGAGUUCAAUAUGGCUGAGGAAAUUGUGUUGUUAGUAAAUGGAGAAGAAGAAACUGAAGAACAUCUAGUAGUAGAACUAAUAGAUGAAGAUCCUACUUGUAUAGGAGAAAUAAUCUUAGACUAGUCAAAUUGUCAAGAAAAAAUACGUACUGUGAGGAGGGAGAUAUGGCAGAUGAAUUAGAAAGUAUGAAUAUUAAAACAAAAUAUAGAAAUCACUGAAGGUAUCAAAGUAUUUCUAUGUUACUGAAAACAGUCCGUGUCUAAGCAAAGAGCAGCACAGUCAGGUCGCAAAAUAAGAGUAAAGGAGGUGGACAACAAUGUUAUUAUGGCAUAAUAGAAAAAAAUGUAAUUUUCAUUGUGUUACAAAUUAAGGGAUUGGUAGAAAAGUUUUCCCUUGACAAAUUUUAAGAAUUUUCACAUAUGAAGUUUACUUAACUGCUACUUGUCAUCUGGAUCCAAACAUAGUGUUAAUUGAACACACAUUUAUAUUUAAAAAAUGUAUCAUAAUUGCUUUAUUUAACACAGGAAAAUCUCGAUUAUCCGCUGGGUUGAUUGGUGCUAAUAUCAUAGAUAGACAAAUUUUGUGAAUAAUCCGUAAAACUGUCGAUAGUGGUUAGAAAUGGCCAGAAUUUAAAAUGGUUAGAACUUGACUUAAUUCAGUUAAUAUUUACAACAACAAAAACAGACAGCACUUAUAAUUACUACAAAAUAAUGUACUCAUCUGAAAAUAUAAAAUUGUGCUUGAAUCAAACAAAACUAGAUUAUGUAUUAUAGUUCUCUUAAGUCUUUAAUAAGUUAUUCAUAAAACAGUCGGCUAAGUACUUGUUUUUAUUUUUAUUACAAGUACCUUUUUUGUUAGUGAAAGUCUUAAAAUUGUUUCCGUAAAUUCUAUUUUUUUAGGUAAAUUUUUAUCACAGAUGUCACAGAUAAUUCACAAAAAAGAUAAUUGGGUGGCGGAUAAUCGAGCCAACUGUAUUUACAUAUCAACUCUUUAUUUUACAAUGCAAAGAUAGGCUUAAAUAAUCCUUUCUUUGCUUAGCCUUAACAUUUAAGUUUUAUUAUAAACUUUACAAGGCAUAAAAAAUUAUAGAAUACAAUUUAAUUAACUUUGUUAUGAGAAACAUUUUAAUUUAUUGUAUCCAAAAAUGUAGGAAACCAAAAAAGUAAUUUUAUACUUUUAUUGUUAAAUAAAGUAACAUUCUAGAUGUCUGUUUAUUUAAAUACCCAAGAUAUUUUACAGUACAGUGUGUCAUAAUUAUAAUUUAUUUCCCCAAUUUAACAUACUAACUGCUACAGUAUUCACUAUCCUUGUUAGUCUUUAGUGUCAGCACUUAAAAUGUAAUGUGGCAGAGCACUGUGAUAAUUUUGAAGUUAUGUUUGAGGUAUGAUGAUGUCACUGUCACUCGAUGGGAUUUUGCUGAGCGAUAUUCAAUAUUUUUACAUUGGUCUUAUGUAUAACCAUGGUGGCAAUA